rnacentral:rRNA from 1 species
CCUACGGUGGGCAGCAGUGGGGAAUAUUGGACAAUGGGCGAAAGCCUGAUCCAGCCAUGCCGCGUGUGUGAAGAAGGCCUUCGGGUUGUAAAGCACUUUCAGUGGGGAAGAAAGCCUUGGGGCUAAUACCCUCGAGGAAGGACAUCACCCACAGAAGAAGCACCGGCUAACUCCGUGCCAGCAGCCGCGGUAAUACGGAGGGUGCGAGCGUUAAUCGGAAUUACUGGGCGUAAAGCGCGCGUAGGCGGUCUGAUAAGCCGGUUGUGAAAGCCCCGGGCUCAACCUGGGAACGGCAUCCGGAACUGGCAGGCUAGAGUGCAGGAGAGGAAGGUAGAAUUCCCGGUGUAGCGGUGAAAUGCGCAGAGAUCGGGAGGAAUACCAGUGGCGAAGGCAGCCUUCUGGACUGACACUGACGCUGAGGUGCGAAAGCAUGGGUAGCAAACAGGAUUAGAUACCCUAGUAGUC